rnacentral:rRNA from 1 species
CGCCUCUUGAGUAAAAAUAAGAGGUCCAGCCUGCCCAGUGACAAAUGUUCAACGGCCGCGGUAUCCUAACCGUGCGAAGGUAGCGUAAUCACUUGUUCUUUAAAUGUGGACUAGUAUGAACGGCACCACGAGGGUUAUACUGUCUCCUUUCUCUAAUCAGUGAAACUAAUCUCCCCGUGAAGAAGCGGGGAUAAAAAUAUAAGACGAGAAGACCCUAUGGAGCUUAAAAGUUUACUUCAAACGCUAACCCCUACAAAGUCAUAGACUACCACAAGAAGCCACGCGCCAUGAAAACAACUUUUAGGUUGGGGUGACCAUGGAGCACAAAACAACCUCCACGCUGAACAGGCCUCCAAGCCUCGAGCCAAGGGCCACAACCCGCCGCACUAAAAAAUUAACAUCCAUUGAUCCAAUGAAUUUUGAUCAACGAACCAAGUUACCCUAGGGAUAACAGCGCAAUCUACUUCAAGAGUUCCUAUCGACAAGUGGGUUUACGACCUCGAUGUUGGAUCAGGGUGUCCCAGUGGUGCAGCCGCUACUAAUGGUUCGUUUGUUCAACGAUUAAAACCCU